UACAGAGGUCCCAAGCGUUGUUCGGAUUCACUGGGCGUAAAGGGUGCGUAGGUGGUGAAGUAAGUCGGAUGUGAAAUCUCCAAGCUCAACUUGGAAACUGCGUCGGAUACUAUUCGGCUAGAGGAAUGGAGGGGAGACUGGAAUACUUGGUGUAGCAGUGAAAUGCGUAGAUAUCAAGUGGAACACCAGUGGCGAAGGCGAGUCUCUGGACAUUUCCUGACGCUGAGGCACGAAAGCCAGGGGAGCAAACGGG
rnacentral:rRNA from 1 species